GUGCUCAUUUCAGCAGCACAUAUACUAAAACUGGAACAAUACAGUUACUAGCAUGGCCCCUGGGCGAGGAUGACAUGCAAGUCUGUGAAGUGUUCCUAUAUUUU
ensembl:snRNA U6 U6 spliceosomal RNA